AUUGAACGCUGGCGGCAGGCCUAACACAUGCAAGUCGAACGGUAACAGGAAGCAGCUUGCUGCUUCGCUGACGAGUGGCGGACGGGUGAGUAAUGUCUGGGAAACUGCCUGAUGGAGGGGGAUAACUACUGGAAACGGUAGCUAAUACCGCAUAAUGUCUUCGGACCAAAGAGGGGGACCUUCGGGCCUCUUGCCAUCGGAUGUGCCCAGAUGGGAUUAGCUUGUUGGUGGGGUAACGGCUCACCAAGGCGACGAUCCCUAGCUGGUCUGAGAGGAUGACCAGCCACACUGGAACUGAGACACGGUCCAGACUCCUACGGGAGGCAGCAGUGGGGAAUAUUGCACAAUGGGCGCAAGCCUGAUGCAGCCAUGCCGCGUGUAUGAAGAAGGCCUUCGGGUUGUAAAGUACUUUCAGCGGGGAGGAAGGGAAUGAGGUUAAUAACCUCAUUCAUUGACGUUACCCGCAGAAGAAGCACCGGCUAACUCCGUGCCAGCAGCCGCGGUAA
rnacentral:rRNA from 1 species